GGGACUGAUUUUCGGACAUAAUUCAUAAGUUAGGGGACUAAAUCAAAAUUAUCCAUAAAAUUCGCGGGGCUUUACUAGGGUUUAACAGAGAGACAAAAUUUUAGGCCUUUCUUGUUGGGAAAAAAAGGAAAGCAAAAUUAGGUCUCAGAAAAAUGUCAAGACCAGAACUGCUAGCACCACCAGAAAUUUUCUACAACGAUGAUGAAGCUCGAAAAUAUACUUCAUCUUCUCGAAUUAUCGACAUACAGACACAACUUUCGGAGAGAGCAUUGGAGCUUCUUGCUUUGCCAGAUGAUGGUGUCCCAAGAUUACUUCUUGAUAUUGGAAGGUUGAAGGAGUAAUUAAAUCAUGUUUGACAAGUUAUUCAUUUGAUUUCUUACCUUAAUUGCUAAGGCGUGGAAGACAUGAACGAGCAUUUUGAGCUAUACAUUGCUCUUAAAGAUAGUUUGAUAGGACUAGCUUGUGGCUAGUCUAUUUCCUCUAAUAAAUCCGAUGUAUGUUGGUAUCCAUAUUGAUAUUGUAGCGAAAAGAGAAGGUAGCAGAGCUGAGAAAUCUCUUUUUACCCUAUAUUUCUCAAAGUAUGGUUGGCCCUCCUCAUUAAUGGUAAAGGUUAUUAGGUGUAUAUAGUCUAGUGCUUACUAGGGAAGAAGAACAAGAAAGGAGUCUCCAUAGUUACAAGGUAUUGACUUAUCCAAUGUGGAGAAAGUUUUAUUGGUUUAUUUUAAAUGGGAAAAAACCAACUGUUUAGCCUUCUUAAAUUGUUGAACAAUCACAGUAGAAUAAAGUUCAAUUGUAUGAUGUUUAAU